rnacentral:rRNA from 1 species
UACGUAGGGUGCAAGCGUUGCCCGGAUUUAUUGGGCGUAAAGGGCGCGUAGGCGGCUCUGCACGUUCGUUGUGAAAUCGCCCGGCUCAACUGGGCGGGGUCAGCGGAUACGGCAGAGCUUGAGCAAGCUAGGGGGCAAUGGAAUUCCCGGUGUAGCGGUGGAAUGCGUAGAGAUCCGGAAGAACACCGGUGGCGAAGGCGGCCUGCUGGGCAGUUAGCUGACACUGAGGCGCGACAGCGUGGGGAGCAAACAGG